rnacentral:ribozyme from 2 species
AGAGGAUAACUGGCAGCCACAGUAGAAGCAUUCACAUUGUGGUCCAUGUCAGAUUCUGGUGAAUUUGCAAAUUCUGCU